rnacentral:rRNA from 1 species
CGCGAUUCGCCCUUCGGGGUGCACCAGGCGCGAAAACUUUGCAAUACACGAAAGUGUGACAGGGUCAUCCCGAGUGCCGACCGCUGAGGUUGGCUUUUACCCAGUCUAGAAAGCUGGGGGAAUAAGGAGAGGGCAAGUCUGGUGUCAGCCGCCGCGGUAAUACCAGCUCUCCGAGUGGUGUGGACGUUUAUUGGGCCUAAAGCAUCCGUAGCUGGCUGAACAAGUCCCCUGUUAAACCCACCGAUUUAAUCGUUGGUCUGCGGGGGAUACUGCUCGGCUAGGGGACGAGAGAGGCAGACGGUAUUCCCGGGGUAGGGGUGAAAUCCUAUAAUCCCGAGAAGACCACCAGUGGCGAAGGCUGUCUGCUAGAACGCGCCCGACGGUGAGGGAUGAAAGCUGGGGGAGCGAACCGGAUUAGAUACCCGGGUAGUCCCAGCUGUAAACGAUGCAGACUAGGUGUUUGGACGGCCACGUGCCGUUCUAGUGCCGCAGGGAAGCUGUUAAGUCUGCCGCCUGGGGAGUACGAUCGCAAGAUUGAAACUUAAAGGAAUUGGCGGGGGAGCAC